AGUCACAUCACGUUGAAACACCGUAUGAUCACCGAAGUUAAACAAUGUCGAGUCUGGUCAGUACCUAGACGGGUGACCGCUUGGGAAUACCCGGUGCUGUAA